CGCUGCUCAGAGCAAACCCGUCGAAAGACGGUGACGCAGAGUCACGGGACUAAGGCGACGCGAGUCGCUACGUCCGCCGGGCCGCCAGC
rfam:Gemmatimonadetes bacterium 13_1_40CM_70_11 13_1_40cm_scaffold_3571, whole genome shotgun sequence.